GUAGGGCUAUUCCAUUAAAAUAUAUAUGGAAGGGAAGUUUAAUCAUUGAAUGUGUUCAUGUGUCUCUUUUCGGUAUGCAUCUAUUACCAUUAUGCAAAAAAAAUGGUUCUUGGUUGUAGGGAUAUUUUGAAAGUCCUUCCCUACCCUUCCAUGUACAUUGUAAUGGAAUAGCCCUUAAUAAUAUAUAUGGCAUAGUCCAGAGUUUUGCUAUCAAAAGAGUACACAAAAUUGUUGAAUAAAAUAUAAUAAUUUUGGUAAUAAUGCCACUAGGUACUUAAGAUUUUGGAAAAAACAUGAAAUCCUGUCAAUCUUUUA
rnacentral:lncRNA from 1 species